UUAAAUGAAUUGACGGGACCCGCACAAGCAGCGGAGCGUGUGGUUUAAUUCGUUGCUACACGAAGAACCUUACCUGGGUUUGACAUAUAAGUUGUAGGGAACUGAAAAGGGACCGACCUUCGGGAGCUUAUACAGGUGUUGCAUGGCUGUCGUCAGCUCGUGUCGUGAGAUGUUCGGUUAAGUCCGCUAACGAGCGCAACCCUCGCCGUAUGUUACAAGUGUCAUACGGGACUGCCGGUAAAAAGCCGGAGGAAGGUGAGGAUGAUGUCAAGUCAGCAUGACCUUUAUAUCCAGGGCUACACACACGCUACAAUGGUCUGUACAAUUGGUUGCCAAGCCGCGAGGCGGAGCCAAUCCGUAAAGCAGGCCUCAGUUCAGAUUGCAGUCUGCAACUCGACUGCAUGAAGCCGGAGUUGCUAGUAACCGCAGGUCAGCAAUACUGCGGUGAAUACGUUCCCGGGUCUU
rnacentral:rRNA from 1 species